rnacentral:rRNA from 1 species
CUACGGGGCGCUGCAGCGAGGAAUUUUGCGCAAUGGGCGAAAGCCUGACGCAGCAACGCCGCGUGAGUGAUGAAGGCCUUCGGGUCGUAAAGCUCUGUCAAGUGGGAAGAACCUAUGUAAUGUUAAUAUCAUUAUAUACUGACGGUACCACUGAAGGAAGCACCGGCUAACUCCGUGCCAGCAGCCGCGGUAAUACGGGGGGUGCAAGCGUUAUUCGGAAUCAUUGGGCGUAAAGGGCACGUAGGCGGCCUGGUAAGUCAGAUGUGAAAGCCCGGGGCUUAACCCCGGAAGUGCAUUUGAUACUGUCAGGCUUGAGUAUGGGAGAGGGAAGUGGAAUUCCUGGUGUAGAGGUGAAAUUCGUAGAUAUCAGGAGGAACACCGGUGGCGAAGGCGACUUCCUGGACCAAUACUGACGCUGAGGUGCGAAGGCGUGGGUAGCAAACAGGAUUAGAUACCCCCGUAGUC